rnacentral:misc_RNA from 1 species
AAGUCGUAACAAGGUAACCGUAGGUGAACCUGCGGUUGGAUCAUUACAAAUUUUAUAGGAGAAGGUUCGCUCUGAGGCUGAGCGAGUAUCUGAUACUCGUGUAUGUUCACUUGGCGUUCCUAAUCUGACCACACCUUUGUGAAUCUUUACUCAUUUUAUGGCCACAGAGCACGUUUGACGCGCUGCGGAAACUCGGACUAUUGGCCUCUCUCCUAACGGGGUGAGGACAGAAUGCUGGUGGCCAGUUAAACACUUUUCCAAACCCGUUUUUUGACAUUUGCCUUGAAAAUCAAUCUGAAGCUCGAAAGAGUGCGAAGAUUUAAAAAUGAGAAACAACUUUAGACAACGGAUCUCUUGGCUCUC